UAAAAGGGCUUUUACCGUCAAUGGUACGUCGGUCUGGAGACGGAUCGGCGCGGAAUCGCCAUCAAGAGAUUUCGGAAGCGUAAUGUUUGGAAACUUGUGGCAGUUGGUCGCCAAUGCGCCGACGCCCAC